GACGAACGCUGGCGGCGUGCCUAAUACAUGCAAGUAGAACGCUGAAGCGAGGAGCUUGCUCUUCUUGGAUGAGUUGCGAACGGGUGAGUAACGCGUAGGUAACCUGCCUGGUAGCGGGGGAUAACUAUUGGAAACGAUAGCUAAUACCGCAUAAAAUGGAUUAUCGCAUGAUAAUCCAUUGAAAGGUGCAAAUGCAUCACUACCAGAUGGACCUGCGUUGUAUUAGCUAGUUGGUGGGGUAACGGCUCACCAAGGCGACGAUACAUAGCCGACCUGAGAGGGUGAUCCGCCACACUGGGACUGAGACACGGCCCAGACUCCUACGGGAGGCAGCAGUAGGGAAUCUUCGGCAAUGGACGGAAGGCUGAACGAGCAACGCCGCGUGAGGGAAGAAGGUUUUCGGAUCGUAAAGCUCUGUUGUAAGAGAAGAACGAGUGUGAGAGUGGAAAGUUCACACUGUGACGGUAUCUUACCAGAAAGGGACGGCUAACUACGUG
rnacentral:rRNA from 1 species